AUUGAACGCUGGCGGCAGGCCUAACACAUGCAAGUCGAACGGUAACAGGAAGAAGCUUGCUUCUUUGCUGACGAGUGGCGGACGGGUGAGUAAUGUCUGGGAAACUGCCUGAUGGAGGGGGAUAACUACUGGAAACGGUAGCUAAUACCGCAUAACGUCGCAAGACCAAAGAGGGGGACCUUCGGGCCUCUUGCCAUCGGAUGUGCCCAGAUGGGAUUAGCUAGUAGGUGGGGUAACGGCUCACCUAGGCGACGAUCCCUAGCUGGUCUGAGAGGAUGACCAGCCACACUGGAACUGAGACACGGUCCAGACUCCUAUGGGAGGCAGCAGUGGGGAAUAUUGCACAAUGGGCGCAAGCCUGAUGCAGCCAUGCCGCGUGUAUGAAGAAGGCCUUCGGGUUGUAAAGUACUUUCAGCGGGGAGGAAGGGAGUAAAGUUAAUACCUUUGCUCAUUGACGUUACCCGCAGAAGAAGCACCGGCUAACUCCGUG
rnacentral:rRNA from 1 species